AUGCAGUCGAGGGGUAUAGUUCUUCGGAAUUAGAGACCGGCGCACGGGUGCGUAACGCGUAUGCAAUCUACCUUUUACAGAGGGAUAGCCCAGAGAAAUUUGGAUUAAUACCUCAUAGUAUAGCAGUUUCGCAUGAAACCACUAUUAAAGUCACAACGGUAAAAGAUGAGCAUGCGUCCCAUUAGCUAGUUGGUAAGGUAACGGCUUACCAAGGCUACGAUGGGUAGGGGUCCUGAGAGGGAGAUCCCCCACACUGGUACUGAGACACGGACCAGACUCCUACGGGAGGCAGCAGUGAGGAAUAUUGGACAAUGGGCGCAAGCCUGAUCCAGCCAUGCCGCGUGCAGGAUGACGGUCCUAUGGAUUGUAAACUGCUUUUAUACAGGAAGAAACCCUGGUUCGUGAACCAGCUUGACGGUACUGUAAGAAUAAGGAUCGGCUAACUCCGUGCCAGCAGCCGCGGUAAUACGGAGGAUCCAAGCGUUAUCCGGAAUCAUUGGGUUUAAAGGGUCCGUAGGCGGUUUAAUAAGUCAGUGGUGAAAGCCCAUCGCUCAACGGUGGAACGGCCAUUGAUACUGUUAAACUUGAAUUAUUAGGAAGUAACUAGAAUAUGUAGUGUAGCGGUGAAAUGCUUAGAGAUUACAUGGAAUACCAAUUGCGAAGGCAGGUUACUACUAAUGGAUUGACGCUGAUGGACGAAAGCGUGGGUAGCGAACAGGAUUAGAUACCCUGGUAGUCCACGCCGUAAACGAUGGAUACUAGCUGUUGGGAGCAAUCUCAGUGGCUAAGCGAAAGUGAUAAGUAUCCCAC
rnacentral:rRNA from 1 species